CCAGGAACUCCAUCCCGCCCUCCCCUUCCCUCCCGCGCGGCCCCCCUCUCUGUUAUCCCCUGCGUCCUGCCGUGCUAGGUUCCGUUUGCUUGAUCGCGGCUCCUCCUUUGCCGCGCUCGAUUGAUUUGCGGGGGCAGCGGCGACUGGCGAGGGCGGCGAGGCGAGCCGUUGCGCGUGUUAUGAGCAGAGCCGAGGGAAGGGGAAGACUGACUACCCGCCC
rnacentral:lncRNA from 7 species